GCCUUGUGCUGGGAGUGAGCCCGAUUGCAAUUGUUGUUUGUCUAAUAAAUAUACUUAUAUGCAGCUCCGGAGUCCUGAGGUAACUAGGGUGAAUUUUCACCUAUCAUAUUUGGGGGCUCGUGACCGGGAUUCCAACAACCUCAACGGCUCUCCACGCUGGGCUAAUCAUCAGGACCUGAAUCAUACGGAGGAGUAUGAGACUCUGUUUUUCUAAAGACCUCCAACUUGAAUUGGAAGGAGGCCAGGGCCUGCCAGCGAGGAGAGCCGAGAGUGAAGGAAUUGAAUUAGACUAUAGGGGUUGGACUCCGAGCUGUUUGUGAGUAUAUUGUUUGUUUGUUGUGUGUGCACGCUAGUAUAGUUUUUUGGGGGGUUGAGACUAACUUUUGUUAAUUUUAACUUGCACUAUUUUUAUUAUUUCUCUGUAAAACUGUUCUAAGGGUACCAUGGCACUGUGUGGCUUCAAUAUAUCACAUGUUAUUCUCACAGAUAUUUCCCUAACGAAUGUUCUAGUCCCCUGGGCGCAGUCACCUUCCUUAAGCCUGUAAAAGAGAGCUAGUGUCUCUCCCGAAGCCCUGAAGCGCGUCCGGUGGAAGAAGACGAGAAGGCCUCUGAAGGAAGGGUAUAGAAGGAAGGGUGGCCUCUGGGCGCAGAAACAUAGCUAGGGAAAAUAUUUAACAGGGAACCUGUGAGGCUGAAACCAAGGUUGGGUCGGGAGAUUGGGUCCUAAUCAACAGCCUCAAAAGAAAACACUGCCACUUGCCCAAGUGGGACAGACCAUACAAAGUGCUACUGUCAACAUCUACCACAGUCAAAAUAGCGGAGAGAGCCACCUGGAUACAUCUAACACCAGAGUUCAAGGCAGGAAUCGCGCACCACAAUGCUCACUGCAGUGGUGGAUGCUGCAUAGAGUGGAUGAUGGAGUCGAUGCAAGGCGCCAGUAUGGUGCCGAGUCACGAGAGAUAGAUAUGGAGGAAGAUGAUAGUGCGGACUACCAACAAGCUGCGGAUCACCAACAAGCUGAAGCACCGAACUUUCCGCCAGUUGAAAUGAAAGAAGAUGAAGAAAACCUGUGGCCACAUCUCAGCAAGCAGUUUGCCUUCCAACGUAAAAGAGGCAACAGCUAUAUGCUGUGUAAACUGUGCCUAAUCCGUCAGUCAGAACUUUCUGCUUAUACAAAUUCAUCUUCAAAUCUGCGCAAGCAUGUGUUGGUCUAGUCUAUGUCAGACAACACCUUGACCGGAUGUUGGAGGCUGGAGCAAGUUGGACAACAUUCAUCAGAUGAAGAUGAUUUAUUUUCCUCAAUGAAGUCCAGAAGGUCAGAAGGUACAGGGGAGUUAGAAGGGUACCUAGCCUGUGUCUCAGUCAAUAUGGAUCUGCUGAACGCCUUUCAGAAUAUCAAAAAACUGUCCCUGAAACUCAAUACUGGCCUACCUGC
ensembl:lncRNA